rfam:Canis lupus familiaris chromosome X, whole genome shotgun sequence.
AGGAGGAAGAACCACAGUGGCGGCGGCCAGCUCUGGAGCCCUGGAUUCAGCUCCUGCAGUAACUACGGAGCUCUCUGUCUGCAGGGCCUGGAUGCUCCCAGGGCGGG